CGUGUACACUUCUCAACCCCCUGGAGCAUACCCCGAUGCCACACUGCAGAGGCCCCCACCUCUCCACCAAUGCCCCCCACAGUUCACCUGGUCCUCACACAGGCCCUGCCCCACAGAGGCAGACACCCUUCCUGCCUGUAGAGGAUCAAGGCACCCAGUCAGUGCAGGCUGAAAAGUAGCUUGAGGGCUUGCUGUUAGGUGAGGCCAGUCCCUAGGGUGGGUUGCCUGCCCUGGCUGAACUGGAUUAAAUCUGUGCUCUAGUGGGCGUGGCAGACCCCUGGGGUAACAGGCCAAGGGAUGAACCUCAAUGGCCCCCACCUGGGUCUGUAUCAGCACGCCUGGACCAGCUCAGAACAAUGGCCCCCACCAAUGUCUCAGUCUCUGAAGAGGUCCCUCCUCUCACCAAGAUGCCCCCAGAUCCCACCAGAGCACAGAUCGACUCUCUUUAGAUCAUGGGAAAGCCAGUUUCAACUUUUUCAGUGUGAUCCUGGCCUUGUUUCCGUUCUUGGCUUCUGUGAGAAAGAACAAGGUGAGAAUGGAGCUCCAAGGCAAAUGAAGCCGCCCCAGCCACCACGAGGGACUUUCAUGUUGCUAUGGACUCUAUUUCAGACAUUUGAAAUUUUGAGUCAUAGGAGAU
rnacentral:lncRNA from 1 species